GUUCUCGUUGAUGAUCGGUGCUUGCACCGAGAUUCAACAUGGAACGAGUGGCGGACGGGUGAGUAACACGUGGGUAACCUGCCCUUAAGUGGGGGAUAACAUUUGGAAACAGAUGCUAAUACCGCAUAGAUCCAAGAACCGCAUGGUUCUUGGCUGAAAGAUGGCGUAAGCUAUCGCUUUUGGAUGGACCCGCGGCGUAUUAGCUAGUUGGUGAGGUAAUGGCUCACCAAGGCGAUGAUACGUAGCCGAACUGAGAGGUUGAUCGGCCACAUUGGGACUGAGACACGGCCCAAACUCCUACGGGAGGCAGCAGUAGGGAAUCUUCCACAAUGGACGCAAGUCUGAUGGAGCAACGCCGCGUGAGUGAAGAAGGCUUUCGGGUCGUAAAACUCUGUUGUUGGAGAAGAAUGGUCGGCAGAGUAACUGUUGUCGGCGUGACGGU
rnacentral:rRNA from 2 species